UACAGAGGGGGCAAGCGUUGUUCGGAAUUACUGGGCGUAAAGGGCGCGUAGGCGGCCUGCUAAGUCGAACGUGAAAUCCCCGGGCUCAACCCGGGAACUGCGUCCGAUACUGGCAGGCUUGAAUCCGGGAGAGGGAUGUGGAAUUCCAGGUGUAGCGGUGAAAUGCGUAGAUAUCUGGAGGAACACCGGUGGCGAAGGCGGCAUCCUGGACCAACACUGACACUGAGGAGCGAAAGCCAGGGGAGCAAACAGG
rnacentral:rRNA from 1 species